rnacentral:rRNA from 1 species
UGGGGUUCUACGAAACCUAAAGGCGCAAUGAAAGUGAAGGCCGCCUCCGGCUGGCCUAGGUAGGAUCCGUCGACCCGUCGGCGGCGCACUACCGGCCCGUUCCGUCAGCUUCGUCUGUGGAGCGGAGCAAGAGCGUACACGUUGGGACCCGAAAGAUGGUGAACUAUGCCUGAGUAGGAUGAAGCCAGAGGAAACUCUGGUGGAGGUCCGUAGCGAUUCUGACGUGCAAAUCGAUCGUCAAACUUGGGUAUAGGGGCGAAAGACUAAUCGAACCAUCUA